rnacentral:rRNA from 1 species
AGUGAACGCUGGCGGUAGGCCUAACACAUGCAAGUCGAACGGCAGCACAGUAAGAGCUUGCUCUUACGGGUGGCGAGUGGCGGACGGGUGAGGAAUACAUCGGAAUCUACUUUUUCGUGGGGGAUAACGUAGGGAAACUUACGCUAAUACCGCAUACGACCUACGGGUGAAAGCAGGGGAUCUUCGGACCUUGCGCGAUUGAAUGAGCCGAUGUCGAAUUAGCUAGUUGGCGGGGUAAAGGCCCACCAAGGCGACGAUCCGUAGCUGGUCUGAGAGGAUGAUCAGCCACACGGGAACUGAGACACGGUCCAGACUCCUACGGGAGGCAGCAGUGGGGAAUAUUGGACAAAGGGCGCAAGCCUGAUCCAGCCAUACCGCGUGGGUGAAGAAGGCCUUCGGGUUGUAAAGCCCUUUUGUUGGGAAAGAAAAGCAGCAGGUUAAUACCCCGCUGUUCUGACGGUACCCAAAGAAUAAGCACCGGCUAACUUCGUG